rnacentral:rRNA from 1 species
CUGCCCAAAACACCUAGCUAUGCCACACCCACAAGGGAAUUCAGCAGUGAUUAACAUUGAGCAUUAGCGCAAGCUUAACUCAGUUAAAGUAAACAGAGCCGGCUAAUCUGGUGCCAGCCGCCGCGGUUACACCACGUGGCUCAAGUCGACCUCCUCCGGCGUAAAGCGUGAUUAAAGUUAUACACCACUAGAGUAAAAUUAAAACUGAGCUGUGACACGCCUGUUUAUUAAGAAACUCGAAAACGAAAGUUACUCUAAUUAAAUCAACUUGAAUUCACGACAGCUGGGGAACAAACUGGGAUUAGAUACCCCACUAUGCCCAGCCGUAAACUUUUAUUUACACUCAAAUCGCCAGGGAACUACGAGCUAAGCUUAAAACCCAAAGGACUUGACGGUACCCCACAUCCCCCUAGAGGAGCCUGUCCUAUAAUCGAUAAUCCACGUUUAACCUCACCAUUUUUAGUUAAUCAGCCUGUAUACCUCCGUCGUCAGCUUACCCCGUGAGCGUCAAUUAGUGAGCUUAAUGUUAUUUCACCAAUACGUCAGGUCAAGGUGCAGCAAAUGAAAUGGAAAGAGAUGGGCUACACUUUCUAUAUUAGAAGAAACGAAAAACUAUUUAUGAAACCUAGUUAGAAGGCGGAUUUAGCAGUAAAAAGGAAUCAGCAUGUCCAUUUUAACCCGGCACU